rnacentral:snoRNA from 1 species
AUGACCUUACUUGAACAGGUUCUGUUCUUUAGGCUCGUACAUCUUGUCCUUGAGUGCCAAGGAGAUAGGCAACUCAGUCACAAGGCUUCAAGAUCAGAGCAUAAUUAAUGGCUUUGAUCUUCCAAGAUAGAGACUGUAAGGGACAUUCUCAACUGGUCGUUGGGGUGAUCCUGAGGUUGUCUGAUAGACC